rnacentral:misc_RNA from 1 species
GUCCAGUUAUAGAUUGAACGGAAUUCAACUAGCUUAUGAUUAUGAACACAGUCAAACUGCACUUAGGAGAAACAUAACUAUCCAAAAAAACAACCAAUUAUAGAACAAUAAUAUAUAAAUAAACUCUGCACAUAAUAAUUUUUAAACCACUGACCAUGAAUUUCCCUUAACACAUAAGGCCAUAAAUACACAAAAGUCGCCUCUUUUAGACAAUGAAACAUUGCAGUUCAUCUGAAAUAUUGCAGUUCAUCUCCGAUACACUAUUCAGUCGAAACUACAACAUAAUGAAGGAGGAGAUAAUAGAUAAAUCGCAAUUGCCUAUGAACUAACACUAAUUUUAACUCGAUUCAAAUUGGGCAAAUUAGUAUCGCGAUGAAAAACGUAACAUGCUAAAUAAAUAUUGGAAUCGUGUGUAAAAGAGAAACUAUCUCGUGACGAAGAGGAAAGACAUUACCUGAGCGGCGAGAAGGAGAAGGA